UUCGCAAUGCCCGAAAGGGUGACGAAGCGACGCCGCGUGGGUGAAGAAGGCCUUCGGGUUGUAAAGCCCUGUCAGGAGUUAUGAAAUGUAGGUGCGAUAAUACCGUGCCUAUUUGACAAAGGCUCCAAAGGAAGCCACGGCUAACUCUGUGCCAGCAGCCGCGGUGAUACAGAGGUGGCAAGCGUUGUUCGGAAUUAUUGGGCGUAAAGAGCACGUAGGUGGGUUUGUAAGUCAGAUGUGAAAGCCUUCUGUUCAACGGAAGAAUUGCAUCUGAAACUGCGAGUCUUGAGUGUAGGAGGGGAGAAUGGAACUUCUGGUGGAGCGGUGAAAUGCGUAGAUAUCAGAAGGAACGCCGGCGGCGAAAGCGAUUCUCUGGCCUAUUACUGACACUGAGUGUGCGAAAGCUAGGGGAGCAAACGGGAUUAGAUACCCCGGUAGUCCUAGCCGUAAACGAUGGGCACUAAGUAGAGGGGUUUU
rnacentral:rRNA from 1 species